CGCUGGCGGCGCGCCUAACACAUGCAAGUCGAACGAGAGAUGAGGAGCUUGCUCUUCAAAUCGAGUGGCGGACGGGUGAGUAACGCGUGAGGAACCUGCCUUGAAGAGGGGGACAACAGUUGGAAACGACUGCUAAUACCGCAUGAUGCAUAGGGGUCGCAUGAUUCUUAUGCCAAAGAUUUAUCGCUUCAAGAUGGCCUCGCGUCUGAUUAGCUAGUUGGCGGGGUAACGGCCCACCAAGGCGACGAUCAGUAGCCGACCUGAGAGGGUGACCGGCCACAUUGGGACUGAGACACGGCCCAGACUCCUACGGGAGGCAGCAGUGGGGAAUAUUGCACAAUGGAGGAAACUCUGAUGCAGCGACGCCGCGUGAGUGAAGAAGUAGUUCGCUAUGUAAAGCUCUAUCAGCAGGGAAGAUAGUGACGGUACCUGACUAAGAAGCUCCGGCUAAAUACGUG
rnacentral:rRNA from 1 species